GACAAUCUGGGUAGAGUAGCAAAAACUAAAGAUUUGAAAGGUAUGGAUGACACCCUGGGUAGAGUAACAAAAGCUAAAGAUUUGAAAGUUAUGGAUGACACCCUGGGUAGAGUAACAAAAGUUAAAGAUUUGAAAGGUAUGGAUGAUACAGUGGGUAGACUUGAAAAGCAUGGAUGACAUCGAGGGUAGAAUAACAAAAAAAUAAAUAUUUGAAAGGUAUGGGCGACACCCUGGAUAGAGUAAUAAGAAAGGUAGAUUUGACAGGUAUGGAUGACACAGAGAGGAUAGAACAAUAAAAAUAAUGAUUUGAAAGGUAUGGAUGAUGCCCUUGGUUGAAUAGAUUAAGAAAAAAUGGCUAAAAUAUGAAUUUGAAUUAUACCCUGGGCAAAAUGAAAUAUAAAAGGUAUGAGUUAUUGAAAAAAAGUUGGUCAGUGUAUUAAAAAAUAAAGGUUUGGGUAGAGUAACAAGAAAAGUAGAUUUGAAAGGUAUGGAUGACACCCUGGGUAGAAAAGAAUAUUUGAAUGGCAUGGAUGACACCCUGGGUAGAGUAGCAAAAUGUAAAGAUUUAAAAGGUAUGGAUGAUACCCUGGGAAAAGAUAUUCAAAGAUAUUCAAACACACUGGCCAGAGUAAUACGAAAGGUAGAUUUGAAAGAUAUGGAUGACACCCAGGGUAGAGUAACUAAAAGGAAAGAUUUGAAAGGUAUGGAUGGUACCCAGGGUAGAGUAAUAAAAAAGGUAGAUUUGAAAGGUAUGGAUGACACCCUGGGUAAAGUAACAAAAAAACAAGAUUCUAAAAGUAUGGAUGAUACUCUAGGAAGAAUAACAACAAAGGUAGAUUAUUUAAGAUAUGGAUGACACCCUGGGUAGAGUAACACAAAAUUAAUAGUUAAAAGGCAUAUAUGAUACCCUGUGCAGAGUAACGAAAACGAUAGAUUUGAAUUAAUGGAUGACACCCUAGGUAGAGUAAUAAGAAAAGUACAUUUGAAAGGUAUGGAUGAUACCCAGGGUUGAGUUAAAAAAGAAGAAGAGAGAUUUGAAAGGUAUUAAUGACAUCCAGGCUAGAAUAAUAAGAGAGGUAGAUUUGAAAGGUAUGGAUGACACCCUGGUAGAGUAAUAAAAAAGAAAGAGUUGAAAGGUAUGGAUGAUAUCCAGGGCAGAGUAACAAAAAAGAGAUUUGAAAGGUAUGGAUGACACCCUGGGUAGAGUAAUAAGAAAGGUAUAUUUGAAAGGUAUGGAUGACACCCAAGGUAGAGUAACAGAAAAGGAAAGAUUUGAAAGGUAUUAAUGCCAUCCUGAGUAGAACAAUAAGAAAGUUAGGUUUGAAAGAUACGGAUGACACUCAGGGUAGAGUAACAAAAAGGAAAGAUUUGAAAGGUAUGGAUGGUACCCAGGGUAGAGUAAUAUGAAAGGUAGAUUUGAAAGGUAUGGAUGAUGACCUGGGAAGAGUAAGGUAUGAAUAAUACCCAGGGUAGAGGUAUUCUAACAUGCUGGUCAGAGUAGUAAAAAAUGUAGAUUUGAAAGAUGUGAGUAAUAAAAAUGUAGAUUUUAAAGGUAUAAAUGGCUCCGUGGUUAGAAAAGAUCACGGAAAGACGAACAAAAUAUGAUAUAAAAUAAGAUAUGAAUAUUAUUAUGUAGAUGGUAAAAGAUGAAAGGGGAUGUUUUAAAGACUAUUGAUAACACCGUGGGUAUGAUAACACAAAAGGCAGAUUUGAAAAUUACGAAAAGUAAGGAUGACACCCUGGAUGAGUAAUAAGAAAGGUAGAUUUGAAAGGCAUGGAUGACACCCAGGGUAGAAUAACAAAAAAGAAAGAUUUAAAAGGUAUGGAUGACGCCCUGGGUAGAGUAAUAAGAAAGGUAGAUUUGAAAGGUAUGGAUGGUACCCAGGGUAGAGUAAUAAGAAAGGUAGAUUUGAAAGGUAUGGAUGACACCCUGGAUAAAGUAGCAAAAUGAGAUUUGAAAUUUACGGAUGACGCCCUGGGAAGAGUAAGGUAUGAAUAAUUCUCAGGGUAGAGGUAUUCUAACACGCUGGUCAGAGUAGUAAAAAAUGUAGAUUUGAAAGAUGUGAGUAAUAAAAAUGUAGAUUUUAAAGGUAUAGAUGGCUCCCUGGGUAAAGAUCAAACCGUGGUUAGAAAAGAUCACGGAAAGACGAACAAAA
rnacentral:lncRNA from 1 species